rnacentral:rRNA from 1 species
AAAUUGAAGAGUUUGAUCAUGGCUCAGAUUGAACGCUGGCGGCAGGCCUAACACAUGCAAGUCGAACGGUAACAGGAAGCAGCUUGCUGCUUCGCUGACGAGUGGCGGACGGGUGAGUAAUGUCUGGGAAACUGCCUGAUGGAGGGGGAUAACUACUGGAAACGGUGGCUAAUACCGCAUAACGUCGCAAGACCAAAGAGGGGGACCUUCGGGCCUCUUGCCAUCAGAUGUGCCCAGAUGGGAUUAGCUUGUUGGUGAGGUAACGGCUCACCAAGGCGACGAUCCCUAGCUGGUC